GCUGGUAUAGCUCAAAGGUAGAGCCGCUGAUUUGUAAUCAGAAGGUUGGGGGUUCAAUUCCCUUUAUCAGUU
rfam:Eimeria tenella Houghton genomic scaffold, Eth_scaff4343